rnacentral:rRNA from 1 species
AUUGAACGCUGGCGGCAGGCCUAACACAUGCAAGUCGAACGAGUGGCGGACUGGCGAGUAAUUUCUGGGAAACUGCCUGAUGGAGGGGGAUAACUACUAGAAACGGUAGCUAAUACCGCAUACCAUCCGAUGUGCCCAGAUGGGAUUAGCUAGUAGGUGAGGUAACGGCUCACCGAGGCGACGCUCACUAGCGAGUCUGAGAGGAUGACCAGCCACACUGGAACUGAGACACGGUCAAGACUCCUAAGGGAGGCAGCAGUGGGGAAUAUGGGACAAUGGGCGCAAGUCUGAGGCAGCAACGCCGCGUGUAUGAAGAAGGCCUUCGGUUUGUAAAGUACUUUGAGGGGGGAGGAGUUAUCUAUAGAAGAAGCACCGGCUAACCACGUGUCAGCAGCCGCGGUAAUUC